GAAAGAAGACGAAAAUGACAGCUUUCUGUGAGAGACAACGGGACAGAUGAGACACAUGUGUGUUUAUGUGCUGUAGAGUAACUGAUGAAGGAAUGCUGCCAUCAAAGGUUUUUUAUCUUUUGUGGUGCAGCAGGACCUGCAAGGAAAGGUGAAAAAGAGGGAAAACCUGAAACAAAAGAAUAAUGGGCCUACAAUCCCCUGAUCAACCUGGAGAAGAGAGCCUUGCUCAAGGACACACUGGUGUUCCUGUGGCUCAAGUGGUAGAGCAUUGUGUUAGCAGUGCAAAGUUGUGGGUUUGAAUACCAGGGAACACAUGUUAGGUAAAAACUGUUAGUCUGAAUGCACUGUAAGUCACUUUGGUUAAAUGUAUAAUUUAUUUAUAAAUUUGAACCACUUCAGUGGUUUAGCCCACUACAAAAGUAAUAAAUCAAUGCAUGUACUUGUAAAUUCUGUGUAAAUGUUUUUCAGGUAGUCGUGCUCAUGGGUUGCAGGCACACGAAAGUUUGGAGCAGACACAGCAGUCAGAUUGUCCUGCACGUGUUCCCCUGCUCUAGCUUCAAGGUUGUGUGGCUCAGAGAGCCGUCAUCAAGGUCUUCUUCAUCCUGUUGCUCAACGACAUCCCCAUUGAGAAGAGUGAGAUUGUGAAGUGCAGCAGCAGAACUGUAUCAGCUGUGUUCAGAUGGCAGGAGGAUGUUGGGUUCACCAUCUGUAAAUACUUGAUUGUUAGAACAAUAAGUUUGAAUGAAGCUUUGUAUCAUGUGUUGUUGACUUGUACAUGUAUGCAUUUAUUGUGAUGCUAACGUUUAUACAUUAUUUUAAUCAAUUAGACAUGUUUUUUGUUGUCAGUAAAUAACAUAUAAAUAUUUUAUCCAUUCAUGUAUUAAUUGCUUGACUGAAAAUGGAUGUAUUCACAU